UACGUAGGGUGCAAGCGUUGUCCGGAAUUAUUGGGCGUAAAGAGCUCGUAGGCGGUCUGUCGCGUCUGCUGUGAAAACUCGGGGCUUAACCCCGGGCCUGCAGUGGGUACGGGCAGACUAGAGUGCGGUAGGGGAGACUGGAAUUCCUGGUGUAGCGGUGAAAUGCGCAGAUAUCAGAAGGAACACCGGUGGCGAAGGCGGUUCUCUGGGCAUGUCCUGACGCUGAGGAGCGAAAGUGUGGGGAGCGAACAGG
rnacentral:rRNA from 1 species